UCGGGUCACUGCGUGGGUCAAAGGCCGCUAAACGGCGCCAUUUUACAGGCGUUUUAAAAGGCAAAAAAUUUGCUACCCUACUGACUAUUUCAGAAUAAAAGAAAAGAAAAAGGAUAAAAAAACCCUAAGGGUUUCGUUCCCUGCCCAAGUGUCGCUCUUCGCCUCGAAUCCGAUCGUACCAGAGGAGGACGCGAGCUUCGACGGCGUCGACGUCAAGAUGAUAUCCCCUCCUUUCUCUGUGUUUUAUCUCAUGCAUAAGAACGUAAAAAAAUAAAAUAAAAUAAACAAUGAACCCACAAAAGAAAUUGAAAGUCGCCUCUGUUUCCUCUUUUUUUUUUGUUACACAAGAUUUGUCAUAAAAAAACAGAAAAGAAAGAAAAACGCAGAGAAAAAGAUGAAAAGAUACCUUCCCAAACUCAGUCUUUUUUUGUUUUUUAUUGAUACUGGUGUGUAACCCUUACAAAAGGCUCUCUGUUUGUUCUUAUAGCCGAAAUCCGUGAGAAAAAUGAAAAAUAACCCCCCAAAUCCCUUUUUUACAUUUUUCUUAUUUACUCCUCUUUUUUUCUGAUUUGCUGUCGAUUUCUCUUUUUUUUCUUUGCCUUUUCUGCUUUGUUGCGUUCGUUUGUCCUUCUUGCAGGUACAACGUACGGAGGGUGGACGUGGCACGUACGGAGGCGAGCGCGAGGGCAAAGGCUCGGAGCGUACGGAGGCUGGUCACGCGCGGAAGGCUUGGCUGCAGCGCAUGAAUCUUUUAGGGUUUUAUGUUUCUAAUUUUUGUUUUGGGCUGCAUUAUGAUUGGGCUAGGGGUAUUGGGCUUAGGCUAAUAGGGUUUAGUUUACUGGGCUGUGUUGAUUUUGGGUUUGUAAAAACAGGACAUUGUUUAUUGUUUUUAUUUUUUUAUUUUUUGUUUAUUUAAUCUGUAUGGGC
rnacentral:lncRNA from 1 species